UCUUAUUGUAACCGGUUUGUCGGGAAAUAUACGUACCCAGAUUUUUCCACCACGACGUGCAUAUCGUGUCAUUGCUCUUCGUCCUGCUUCUAUCUGCCUCGCCGUAAUCCAAGUGGGUUCAAGUGCUUGAAGAGCAUAUCUACCAAAACAAAUACAAUUGCCUCGGUAGGAUUUUCCCUUCAUUCUUCCUCUAUGUUGUUUACGAAAUCUGGUUCUUUUGGGGUUAUAGUCGAUGGUUCUCUCUUAGUUCCAUCUCUACUGCAAAACUGGACAUGAGAGUUUCUUCUCAUCCAGCUCCUCGCGAAUCAAAUGAGAAAGUGUGCAAAUUUCUCUAAUUCCACAAUAUUCUAAAAUAUUACGGAUAGAUACACAUUAAUAGGAAAGGUUAGGGUUUUUAAUAUUGAAUUUAUUAAAAUACUAAAAUAUAUAGUCAAGAAAGAGGAUCUAGAAUAUAUCUAGAUGUGUAUGUUUAUUUAUCUAUAUUCUAUAUUUAAUGUAAUUCUUUUUUUUAAUCUCCUUUUUUUAUUUUACUCUUAUUGAAUCGCGGUAAAGUAUUCUAAUUCAAUAAAAAUUUCGCGGGCGAAUAUUUACUCUUUCCUGUCUUAUUUGUUAAUUCAUAACCUUAUCAAAUAAGACAAUUUUUUUGGUUUGUUCCGCCAUCCCACCCAAUGAAGUAUUGGGAUUCUUUUCAAGAAAAUCCUAUCCAGUCAUAGGUUCUGUCGUUCCCACUGCUUCUCCUUUAAUGGUUAGGUUUGAAUCUCGCAAUGGAGCUUCCAAAAAAUUUCUUUCCGAGUCAAUUUCUCAGUUUUAUUAACUCGGGACUCUCUUUGUUAUUCCUUGAAAUUUUUAUUUCUUGUUUCAAUCAAAUUACGAUUUCGAAUUCUCUGUUAUUUUUAUUAUAUUGAUGCUUUAUCACAUUGCUUUUUAUGAUGUAAUUCAUAGACCAUACAUAUUGGAAUCCUAUAUCUUUCUUAUUUCUCUUCCUUCUUUCUAUCAUCCUUCCUUUUAUCUACAUCCCCUUUAGUUUUGCUUCACAACUUAGAAUCCUAUUUUUUUUAAAGAAAAAAUUGCAGUUGCUACACGUAUAUGAUAGAUUUACUCAUUUAUGAUAGAUGUAUUUAUUCAUAUAGUGACUGUUUCUUAGUUAGGAUCUCGACAAUACGAAGCAAUAGGUUGGUUAUUAGUUCAUUUUCUAUAAUUACAUAGUAGGGUUCAUUCUAUUUUUUUUAAUCCCCUUUUUGAACCCUAAAAAAAAACUAACGAGUCACACACUAAGCAUAGCAAUUUUAUUAAAAGAUUUCUCAAUUUUCAUUAAAUCUUAUAGAAAGAGGUAGAAUUUCUUCUUUUUUUCAGGGAUUUUAGGGAAAAUAAGGCUCUUGUCAUUUUUUAUUCUAUUACUGAACAGAAUGGGAAGACAGGGUUGGUUAUUCUUCGUCUACGAAUAUCCAAAUUUUAACUCCUAAUACUCCAUAGAUAGUUCGAAUUGGAUAGCAGCAAUAAUCAAUUUUAGCGCGAAUUGUUUGGAGGGGAAGUCUACCUUUUUUGAUGCAUUCGGCACGCGCAAUUUCUUUUCCCGCGAGACAGCCUGCAAUUUUUACUUUUACUCCCUUUAUAUCUGUUUUUUUAGUUAAUUCAAUGGCUUUUUUCAUUGCCUUUCGGAAUGAAACUCUAUUUUUUAAUUGGAAAGCUAUAUAUUCUGCAAGAAUGUUAGGUUGUCUAUAAGGUUCUUUCACUUUUUCGAUCCCAAUAUUAAGUCUCUGGUUUACAGAAUUAACUUCUUUUUGUAGAUCUUUCUCUAAUUCUUCGAUUGCUCCUUUUUUCUUUAAUAAAUUGGGGAAUCCAAUAUGGAUUAUGACGUGGAUUGUAUCGAUUUCUUUUUGAAUUUCUAUAUGUGUAAUUACUUCGGAACUUGAGCCCGAGUCCAUUUUUUUAUUAUGUGUAAUUACUUCGAAACUUGAGUCUGCUUCUAUUUUUCUAUUCGAGCCCUUUUUCCUAUUCUUUUGUAUAUAGUUCUUGAUACAAUUCCGUAUUUUUUUUAUCUUCCUGUAGACCUUCAGAAUAAUUUUUUGGUUGUGCGAACCAAAAGGAAUGGUGAUUUUGGGUUGUACCAAGUCUGAAACCAAGUGGAUUUAUUUUUUGUCCCAUAUUUUUCUAUUCUAUUUUUUUUACCGGGAAUCAAAUCUUAGAUGGAUCUAAAGAUUAUUUCGAUUUCUUUACUAUAUUUAGUACAAUUGUUAUAUGACACAUGGUUUUUUUUAUGGGAGAACUACGUCCUCGAGCCCGAGGUCUGAAUUUAUUCAUAAUAGUACUCCUACUGACUUCGGCUUUAGUGAUGAAUAAAUUUGCUUUGUCGAAAUCCCUAUAAUGAGUAGCAUUUGCUGCUGCCGAAUAAACCAACUUUAAGAUAGGAUAAGAUGCUCGAUAAGGCAUGAGGUUCAAUAUCAUAACAGUUUCUUCGUAGUAACGCCAACGAAUCUCAUCCAGAACUCUUUGUACUUUGAAAACGGACAUGUGGAUGCGUUUUUGUGCUUUGAAAACCCGUUCGAACUUAAGUAGACGAUCGGUUGGUACUUUUCUUGCGAGUUUCCUUAGCCCACUCUUCUUCUUCUUUAUCCUAGGGGUAUACUUUACCAGUUUGAAACUUGUCAUAAAUAAGGUUAUUCCCCGCUUACCUAUUUCUUUUUUUUUAUUUUGAAUCUUUCUAUUCUGAAUUCAGUUAACGACGAGAUUUAGUAUCCUUUCUUACACUUUCAUAACUCGUGAAAUGCCGAGUUGGUACGAAUUCCCCCAAUUUGCGACCUACCAUAGGAUUUGUUAUGUAAAUAGGUAUAUGUUACUUUCCAUUAUGAAUCGCGAUUGUAUGGCCAACCAUUGCGGGUAGAAUGCUGAGAAAGUUGGGCUGAUCGUAGCC
rnacentral:lncRNA from 1 species